UCAGCCUAAGAGGCAAAAACAAGAAGUUAGCUUUUUUCUUUUUUUUUAAUUCUAAAACCAGCCCUAAGCUGGUAAGUAAAGUCAUUCACUUCUGUAUUUUAGCAAUGCUUGUGGUGCCUGCCUCUUUGUCUGGCAGUGCACCCUUCUGCAGAAGUAAAGUCUGCCUUGCCGAAAAAAUAAAAAAAAAAAAAAAUCCAACUAGUACUUGUGAGUAAAACUAUUAAUCACCCUUGCUUUGCCUGAAUUUAGGGAGUGAAGCCUCUGUCGAAAGCCCAGAUCCAGUGAUCUGUGAAGCUCUUUGUGAAAGGCUUCUGCGAUAAUCUCCCUCUGCCACAGAGGCCAGGGACCCACAUGGCCACACAAAGCUGAGCCUCUGCAGUGACUGCAAAGCUUCCCAGAGUGCUGGAUUAGGUCCAGCUGUAUUUGUUCCUCGGGUCUCAAAUACUCUAUUUGGUUCUGGUGCUUCUGGAAGAAGUCAGAAAAGCCAGCUGAGCAUCUGCUGCAGAGGAGGGCGGGGAGCCUGACACCCGUACCUUGCUUCCAGUUCAUCAUUCUCUGCCUUCCUCUGCUGCGCCAGUGCUGCCUCCUGCAAGUGGUGCUCCUUCACUUUCUCCUUGAGCAUCUCCUGGUGUCUGUGGGCGUGGAAGAGGGUGUUCACAAAGAAGGAGUGCAUGUGACUCUUCCACGUGGGGAGCUUUUCCUUCUGGUCCUCCUUGGACUUUUCAUGUUUCUCUGGAAUAAAGUUUCAUCACAAGGAGCGUGAAUGCUCUCCCACCAUACCUGAAGUCAUUGCACCCAUUCUGCAUGGUGGGGCACAUGGCCCUCUCCGGGCAGUGAGGAUGGAGGGACCUGCACAGCACAUCAGUGCCCCCUGGGAUGAGGUGGCCGUGCAGUGGACACAACUGUAAUUGCCCUGGAGCCUCCUGCCUAUCCUUUUUUCCUAAACAGCUUAAGUAUUUUAGUUUUUGCAGUGAAAAUGUCAGAAGCUUCACAUUCCAUGUAUUGGGGAAAAACCCUCUCUUGGCAUUGCCUACACUAUCUUUGGUGCGAUUUUCACUCAAGAGCUGAGUGAGAAGGUAAGUGGAUUCUGUCUGCCUGGGCUGCUCCACUAGAGGAGGUGGGACCGGGUGCUACAGGAAGGGGAUUUCAUUGGUCCCCCCUCUGCUUGCCACUGCAGAAGCCAAUGUGAUGGGCCCCAAGUGAAAGGAGUAGGAAGAACCGUGCCACUUGAUGCCAGCACCAGUGCUCAGAGACUAACGGGGACCUUACGUGCACCCCUUCAUGGACCCCCAUCAGGCUCAGGCUUGGGUCAGUGUGGCACGUAGAGAUGCAGAUGGCAAGUGGUGCACACAGCGCCAGGGGCUGCUGCCCAAGGGCCAGGCACAGCCUCCACUCCCUGCAGACCUCAGCUGUGUCAGCCUCACAGCCCAGCUGUGCCACUUCCUAGCAGCCUGGGCCAGGCAGCAGCUCCACCAUUUUUUCAUCUGCAGAAGGGGAGCCACGACUGAACCAUCUGCAGAGAAGUGGCGGGAAGGCUGGAUGCAUCAGUGCACGGGAACUCAGCUCCCCGCACACAUGAACACCAUGAUCAUUUACUCCAAUUCAUAAAAAUACUGGGAUUGGGAUUAGUUCGAGUAGGAAUUAAACCUGUCCUUUAUUUUGAGGAGUCUACCCUGCUACAGUACUAAAUGUUGUCCGGUAAGAGUUCUAACUUGCUCAAAGACUUGGUGCACCUGAAGUAAAUGAUGUCUGACUCCUGGCUUCUGACUGCAUUUGGACUCCUGCUGUGGACACUCUAAGGACAAGCACAGAGAGGGAGUCUGGCUUCCACAGAUAAAAACAGUCCCAGACAACCUGGAGAAGCCAUCAGUGAGAGCCUCGCUGGCUAAUUUGGCAGCACUGAGAUAUGGAAAAGAACACAAGCCCUCAGCCUCCCUGCGAGAAAUCCAAGGCACAUGCCAAGGAUAUGUGGAAAGAGACACUUCUCAGCCCACAGAGAAAAGCCUCCUCAUUGAGCAGCUCGGAAGGGUCUCCCAGCUCAGGGACUCACUGGGCCCCGAGGCUCUCCCUGUGUCUCUUUGAGACAUUCUCCCUCCAGAUGAAUGUCUGAAGCCCUCUAAGUUGAAAUGCCAUCAAAACACUGGUCUCUGGGCCGGGGAUUUAGCUCAGUGGUGCUGCCACCUGUCUCACAAGUGAAAGCUCCUGCAUUCAAUCCCAUUAAAAAUAAUAAUAAUAAAGAAAAAAAACACCGGUCUCAAUUUGAUCCAGAUCUGGAUCCUUCGUAAAACUCCUGGCACAGUCCUUGUGCUGCCAGGGUCUUGUGGUAGCAUCCGGGGCAUCCAUCUCUGGAGCAAACGCCCACCUCAGGACCUGUUCCUUGACAUCUGUGCCCUGGGACAGGCUUUCCACUCAUACAAAUGCUACAUAUGCAUGACGAAAGGUCACACAACAACCCACCGUAGAUGGCCGAGCCUGGUACCAUCAGAGAGCACAAAGACUUCACUGGUAUUUCCCUCUCCUGGGGCUAAGAGUCUCCUUCCUGGGCCUUGACCAGGAAAUACAGGCUUCCUAACUUUAAAAAACAAAAUAGUACUCUCCUUUCAAAAUGUGAACAUACAUCAUAAAUUUUCUUAAGUCUUAAGAAAAAUCUGGGUUACAAAAACACAGAUCAUUUUGAUGAAGGUUCAUCCAUUCCAGAAUAAAACCAUCCCUUGCUUUGUAAAUUCCAAGGUAUUGUUACCUGAUUUACUAGUGUAUGAAUGCUUCCAAAUCUGUUUCCAGACAAGCCAUCACAUGGAACAUUUAAGGAGAAUUCAGUGCUUUGGUCAGGAACCACGGUGAGUGAGAAGGAUAUGAGAGCUUCAAAGAAUUCCAGGAAAACCAGCUGAAAGACAAGAAAACACAGGAGUCUCAUUCGGAUGUACUGAGAGUGCUGCAGGUCAAACCAAGGGCCUCAUAGGUUAGACAAGUGCUCUGCCACUGAGCCACACACCCAGCCCUCCUAACUUGUUCCUAUGAUGUCACGGCAUGUUAAUCAUCCUCUAGUCCCAAAGAAGUGAUGGACCUGCAAUACUCACCAUUUAA